ACCAUCCUUUUCUUGGGGUAGUGCUACUGUCCAUUGAAUGAGUAAUGAGGGCAGUACUGCUAACGCCUACACAACACUCCGGCAUCAAAAAGAAAUAAAUUAAAAA
rnacentral:ncRNA from 1 species